rnacentral:rRNA from 1 species
AUUGAACGCUGGCGGCAGGCCUAACACAUGCAAGUCGAGCGGUAACACAGGGAGCUUGCUCCUGGGUGACGAGCGGCGGACGGGUGAGUAAUGUCUGGGAAACUGCCUGAUGGAGGGGGAUAACUACUGGAAACGGUAGCUAAUACCGCAUAACGUCGCAAGACCAAAGAGGGGGACCUUCGGGCCUCUUGCCAUCAGAUGUGCCCAGAUGGGAUUAGCUAGUAGGUGGGGUAACGGCUCACCUAGGCGACGAUCCCUAGCUGGUCUGAGAGGGUGACCAGCCACACUGGAACUGAGACACGGUCCAGACUCCUACGGGAGGCAGCAGUGGGGAAUAUUGCACAAUGGGCGCAAGCCUGAUGCAGCCAUGCCGCGUGUAUGAAGAAGGCCUUCGGGUUGUAAAGUACUUUCAGCGGGGAGGAAGGCGACAAGGUUAAUAACCUUGUCGAUUGACGUUACCCGCAGAAGAAGCACCGGCUAACUCCGUGCCAGCCGCCGCCGUAA